AACUUGAGUGGGUGUACCCCGAAAUGCAUUUACCAGUCUACUGUCACCUGUCUCCUCGAAUGGAGGAGUGAUACAGGUGCUGUGGGAUGCACACUGUCUGCAGUUUCCUGUCUACGCAGUGAGGAAGCUGAUUGUUUCUUCUUAAAGUUAACUGCCAGGGAUUGUUUUCCUUCAGCAAGACAACUGGGAGCCAAAGUCGUGCUUUCCGGAAUUAACUCUCAGCUGAUACCCUGACGAUCGCUGAUUCCCGUCACCAAGUCCAGAGACCGUGUCGAUGUAUUGCUCCUGGAUCAUGAAGGCUGCCAAAUUGGCUGUGUAGGAAGCCAGGAAGAUGACAGCGAAGAAAGCCCAGACCAGGACCAUGAUCUUACUGGUGGUGCCCUUUGGAUUCUCAAUGGGGACUGAGUUGUUGAAGACAAUUCCCCACAGCAGCCACACAGACUUCCCAAUAGUGAAGGUUGGACCUCCGGGAUCUAGGGAGGACAAAGCCAAGAGGGGAC